rnacentral:tRNA from 1 species
AAUGAAUUGCCUGAUAAAAAGGAUUACCUUGAUAGGGUAAAUCAUG